UGAGACCAAAAUUUCAAGGCCGGAUAGCUUGUCAGGUCCAGUGAAAAAUGGGCCCAACCAGACCUCUCGGCCUUAAAAAAAAGCUAGAAGAUCAUCAACACCUGAAUGCAUUUUUGCCUCAAAAAAAUAACCUGAAUGCAUUUUGCAAACAAAACAAAUCAGCAGCUCGAUGUAUUUUCAAGAUCAAUUAAUGAAUUUCAAUUAUAUUCCGGCUCACAAGGCUAACAAUUCCCAACACCAUUGGCGACGGGAAUCGUCAGCAUAUGCAUAUUGCGUAGGCUCCCAAAUUCCUCCUUUUCUAAUGAGAAGUUGGAACUGGAGUGUUCUCACCUUGUUGACUUCAAAGCAAAACUUGCCCUCCAACCAGCCAAUCUGCGAGGGUUCCUUGCCCUCCAACCAGCCAAGCUAAUCACCCUGUUGAUUACUUCGUUUCCUGAAACAAGAGACAACAUAAAUGACGUUAAACUACAUCUUUAAACAAAACCUUCGACAAUGACAAAGAGGUACUUUAUUUGUCGCGUGGAUGACUUUCCGUGUUCUUGCUCGAAUUCUUUCAUCAGACGGUAAGCAUCAAUAGUGAUGUCCAAUUAAAAAAAAAAGCGGUGUCACAUCUCAAAACGAAAACAAAAGAAAGAAUGAGGCAACACGCCGAAGAAUCAGGGUCAAGGUCUCCCCCGCUGGUAUGAUUAGUGAUAUCAGUUGUGGUACUUAAACUAACUAACACCUUAUCGCUUGAGCACCAUACCAACUUGUGUUUACUUGUUUGCAGGCGCAAACCUACUCCAAAUCAGUUUAACAUGGUCUGGUAUGCUGUUUGCAAACAUGUAACAUGAGUAAUCAGCGUCCAGCUAUGCUGGUUUUCGUAGCUAGCAUUUUACUCCCAGCAGCGGCAACACUGGCCGGAGCCUCUUCCGGGCGCUCCGUCUCGCUGCCAAGCUGCCCCGACAAGUGCGGCGACGUUCCCAUCCCAUACCCCUUUGGCAUCGGCACACACUGCGCCGCGACCAGCCUGAGCAGCUACUUCAACCUCACCUGCAACGGCACGAUCGAUCCACCGCGGCCAAUGGUCGGCAAUGACGAGGCAGUGGUUGAGAUCACCGACAUCUCGCUGGAGCACGGUGAGAUGCGUGUGCUCAGCCCCGUCAACCACAUCUGCUUCACUUCGGACACCACGUUCACCAAGUUCCUCGGAGGGUACGAGCUGCAACUCACGCCCUUCCUGCCCUCCCCAUCGCGCAACCGCUUCACGGUAAUCGGCUGCAACACGCUUGGGCUCAUCAGCGGGUACAAAGGCACCGCGAGCCAGUACGUGGCUGGUUGCUACUCCUACUGCGAGGGCGUCAACAACACGACUGAAGGCGCGCCGUGUGCUGGGAUGGGAUGCUGCGAGGCUGCCAUCCCUGCAAACCUCACCUCCUUCGGGGUCAAGUUUGAGAUGAACCAGAGCAAGGUAUGGGGCUUCAACCCGUGCUUCUACGCCAUGGUGGCGGAGGUUGGGUGGUACAACUUCAGGCAGCAGGACCUCGUCGGCAGACUUGGGUUCGUUGAUGAUCGAGCCCAGAGAGGCGCCCCCGUUGUCGCUGACUGGGCCAUUAGGAACGCCUCAUGCCCGGAGGAGGGGAAGGACAUGCCCAAUGACUAUGCCUGCAUCAGUGUCAACAGUCAUUGUGUGGCCGCAAACAAUGGUCCAGGGUACUUAUGCCAGUGUUCCAAAGGAUAUGAAGGAAAUCCUUAUCUUUUGAACGGCUGUCAAGGUUAAGUAUCUACUCAAAUUUAACUUCUGUGGUUUUCCAGGGAUAGUUCUCUGAAAACUGAUGCAAUUCUGGACCAUAUCUCAGUGUUAGUUCCACAAGAUAUAGAUUCAUGAAAAAUUAGUGCUCGACACAAGUCUUCAAAUUUUUUGCUAGUAGCAAAAGGCAACACUCAUAUAGUCAUAUUUGAUUUCUACCACACCUAAAGAAAGAACUGGAAAAUAAUGGCCUUCUUUUGUGGUGUGUAUUGUUUAUUUUAACACAUGACUUAAUGUUACUUUAGAACAAGUAAUGCAUAGGGAAUUUUACAGCAUUACAAAGUGAAUUGACUGGUUGUCUUCAUUACUCGUUGAAACUUUCUUCGGCUGACAUAUAACAAUGAAAAUAAUGUGUGUUUAGUUUGACUAUUGAGUGCAUGUUCUUGUUAUUGUCUUCAGACACAGAUGAGUGCGCAUUGCGUAAGCAGAACACCAAGUAUAAAGAUUUGUAUCCAUGCACAAAAGGGGUCUGCCACAACACACCAGGAAGCUACUUUUGCAAAUGCAAGAAAGGAACAAAAUCUGACGGUACAGAUUUUGGAUGCCAGUCUCUGCAUUCGCCAGCUGACAAAAUGGUUAUUGGUAAGUAUCAUCUAUGUAAAGAGGUUACCUUUGCUUCAGAUUUUCAUCUACAUUAAGGUGUGUCUCCUAAUGACGAACACCGACGUAAUACUAACAUAUAAUAUUAAUGCUAGACACUACUUAGAAGCAAAAAGGAAGAGGAAGUCAAAAUCUGCAACAGAAAUUUACUAGAAAUAUAUUUUUACAGGCCUCAGUGUUUCUGCAACGGUGGUGAUGGCCUUAGCAUGCUUGUUGCUCAUGCAAUUACAAAGGAAAAAGCACAAGAAGGAGAAAGAUGAGUAUUUCAAACAAAAUGGAGGUCUCAAGUUAUAUGAUGAGAUGAGGUCAAGGCAGGUUGACACAAUUCGUAUACUUACUGAAAAAGAGAUAAAGAGAGCCACUGAUAACUACAAUGAAGAUCGAGUUAUUGGCUGUGGCGGCCAUGGGAUGGUAUACAGAGGAACUUUGGAUGACCAAAAAGAGGUCGCCAUCAAGAAGUCCAAAGUAAUCAGCGAUGAUUGGAGGGAAGAAUUUGUCAAUGAGAUAAUAGUCUUAUCACAAAUCAAUCACCGAAACAUUGUGAGGUUGCUAGGCUGUUGUUUAGAUGUGGAUGUCCCAAUGUUGGUCUACGAGUUCGUCCCCGGUGGUACUUUAUCUGAGUUUCUUCAUGGCGCUGGUUGUAAAUCACCAAUCCCUUUGGAUCUUCGCCUGAAGAUUGCUACACAGUCAGCAGAAGCUCUGGCUUACUUACAUUCUUCGACAUCUCGCACAAUCCUACAUGGGGAUGUCAAGUCUGCCAACAUUCUCUUGGAUGAUCAGCUCAACGCAAAAGUUGGCGAUUUCGGAGCAUCAGCACUUAAGUCCAUGGAUGAAAGUGAAUUCAUCAUGUUUGUUCAUGGAACACUCGGCUACCUUGACCCAGAGAGCUUUAUCAGUCGUCAUCUCACUGACAAAAGUGAUGUAUACAGCUUCGGGGUGGUUCUUCUGGAGCUGAUGACAAGAAAGAGGGCUAUAUAUACGGACAACUUCAACGAAAAGGAAUCAUUGUCAUAUAGUUUUCCCUUGAUGUUUCAAAAGAGGAGACACCUUGUUAUGCUGGACACUGAAAUUACAGAUGAUGCAGUUAUGGUGGUGCUUGAGAACAUGGCUGAACUUGCAGUGCAGUGCCUUAGCCCAAAGGGAGAUGACAGGCCAACGAUGAAGGAAGUCGCUGAGAGCCUACAGAUGAUGAGGAGACUCCGAGUGCACUCAGCUAGUGAUCCUGAAAAUAAUCACUAUACACAUAGCUAUGGAGGAUCAUCUUCGGUUGUGGUCCCUUUGGAAGAGACAACACGUGGGACCAUCGAUAUGUCAGAACUGGUUGAAGAUCUUUCAAGAUGAUGUUUGUAAUUUUGUAUGGACAGUCAAUUCUUUUGUUUGUGAUAUGUGACAAUAAAUAUUUAACCCCCACUGUUGCAAUAGUUACACCAAUUUAUGGGGCAAGGAUCAUAACAUUCGAUUUGACAUGCCAGAGAAAUCACCACAUACAUCACUGUUUUACUUUUGAUAAAACACACACCACUGCAUGUAUGGAACAUGUAGAUUAUAGGCGUAUAGUUUGAUUAUGAGUAUACAGACUUUGUUUUGGCCAUUUAAUUUGUAAAUGGUACCAUUUGAACUAAGACAUAUCCACUUAUGCAACACAAUACGGAUUUUAUUAGUUCCAUAACAGAAAUCGGAAUUUACCUGUGCUGGGUGGGGAAUGAGUG
rnacentral:lncRNA from 1 species